CUAGUCUUUUUUAGAAUCAGUACAAUUAAUUGAGCGGAACUGGAUUGUAACAUUAAGAGUUUUUCUGAUCGACGAUAUUUAUUUCAAUUGUCCAAAUACGAAUCGAAUUUUUAUAAAAUAAAAAUGUCGAAAAUUUUGAUUUUUCUUUUUAUUGUGGGAUUGAUAUCAAUGACUGCAGCUUACCAAGUAUAUGUAGGGCAUUGUCUAAAAGAAGGUCCCUGUAAAGAGCACAAGGAAUGUUGCACAGGAUACUGCAAAAGUUCAAGAUACACUUGGAGUACAAAAGAAAAAAUUUGUAUACCAAUGGAAUAUUUCGAGUCCUAAAAAACAUAAAUAUGAUUAAAAUAAAUCGUAGUUAAAUAAACAGAAAUAAUGUAGAUUUUUAUUCUUCACAUCUGUUCUGUAAUAUUGAAAUUUAAUUUCUUAUAUAUAUUUAAUUAAUUAAUAAUUA